CCCUUAGAUGUUCUGGGCCGCACGCGCGCUACACUGACCAGUGCAACAAGCAUCCGUCCUUGGCCGACAGGCCCGGGCAAUCUUUGAACGCUGGUCGUGAUGGGGAUAGACUUUUGCAAUUUUUGGUCUUCAACGAGGAAUUCCUAGUAAACGCAAGUCAUCAACUUGCAUUGAUUACGUCCCUGCCCUUUGUACACACCGCCCGUCGCACCUACCGGUUGAAUGGUCCGGUGAAGCCUCCGGAUUGGCGCGCACCUCGGUGCCGCCGAGAAGUUGGCUAAACCUUACCAUUUAGAGGAAGGUGAAGUCGUAACA
rnacentral:rRNA from 1 species